rnacentral:Y_RNA from 1 species
GGUUGGUCCGAGUGAGGUGGUGUUUACAACUAAUCAAUCACAAACCAAUUACAGAUUCCUUUGUUCCUUCUCCACUUCCAUUGGUUCACUUGACCAAUAUAUA